ACAACUUUAGACAACGGAUCUCUUGGCUCUCGCAACGAUGAAGAACGCAGCGAAAUGCGAUACGUAAUGUGAAUUGCAGAAUCCAGUGAAUCAUCGAAUCUUUGAACGCACAUUGCGCUCCUUGGUAUCCCGAGGAGCAUGCCUGUUUGAGAACCUUAACGUCUCUCACAC
rnacentral:rRNA from 1 species